GAUCGGAUCAAGCGCGAGAAGGGCGUUUGGUGAAUGCCUUGGCAGCAAGAGGCGAUGAAGGACGUGAUACUCUGCGAUAAGUCAUGGGGAGCUGAGAAUAAGCUUUGAUCCAUGAAUUUCCGAAUGGGGCAACCCACCUGAAACUCUGUUAU
rnacentral:rRNA from 1 species